rnacentral:rRNA from 1 species
CCUACGGGCGGCAGCAGUGAGGAAUAUUGGUCAAUGGACGAGAGUCUGAACCAGCCAAGUAGCGUGAAGGAUGACUGCCCUAUGGGUUGUAAACUUCUUUUAUAUGGGAAUAAAAUGUUCCACGUGUGGGAUUUUGUAUGUACCAUAUGAAUAAGGAUCGGCUAACUCCGUGCCAGCAGCAGCGGUAAUACGGAGGAUCCGAGCGUUAUCCGGAUUUAUUGGGUUUAAAGGGAGCGUAGGUGGAUUGUUAAGUCAGUUGUGAAAGUUUGCGGCUCAACCGUAAAAUUGCAGUUGAAACUGGCAGUCUUGAGUACAGUAGAGGUGGGCGGAAUUCGUGGUGUAGCGGUGAAAUGCUUAGAUAUCACGAAGAACUCCGAUUGCGAAGGCAGUUCACUGGACUGCAACUGACACUGAGGCUCGAAAGUGUGGGUAUCAAACAGGAUUAGAUACCCGAGUAGUC